rnacentral:sRNA from 1 species
UAUCCGCUGUAAAGCCAUCUGCUCCGGGU